CUGCUGCCUUCCGUAGGAGUCUGGGCCGUAUCUCAGUCCCAAUGUGGCCGGCCAACCUCUCAGUCCGGCUACUGAUCGUCGCCUUGGUGGGCCGUUACCCCACCAACUAGCUAAUCAGACGCGAGGCCAUCUUUCGGCGAUAAAUCUUUGACAUUCAGACCAUGCGGCCCAAAUGUAUCAUGCGGUAUUAGCAGUCGUUUCCAACUGUUGUCCCCCUCCGAAAGGCAGGUUCCUCACGCGUUACUCACCAG
rnacentral:rRNA from 1 species